rnacentral:rRNA from 1 species
AGAAUGAACGCUGGCGGCGUGCUUAACACAUGCAAGUCGAGCGAGGCGGAAGGGGGCAACUCCUUCCAGUCGAGCGGCGGACGGGUGAGUAACACGUGGGUAACCUGCCCGGAAGUGGGGAAUACCUCGGGGAAACUCGAGCUAAUACCGCAUGACAUCUUCGGGACGAAAGUCCUGGUGAUCAAAAGCGGGGUCGCAAGAUCUCGCGCUACCGGAUGGGCCCGCGCCCGAUUAGCUAGUUGGUGAGGUAACGGCUCACCAAGGCUUCGAUCGGUAACCGGCCUGAGAGGGCAUCGGUACACACCGGAACUGGAGACACGGUCCGGACUCCGUACGGGAGCAGCAGGUGGGAAUCUUGCGCAAUGGGCGAAAGCCUGACGCAGCAACGCGCGUGGAGGAUGAAGGCCGUUGGUUGUAAACCUCCGUGUCGGCUAGGAAGAAAUCGUUACGGGUUAAUACCCGUCGGUACGUUGAC